rnacentral:rRNA from 1 species
GGAGAAUGUUAUCACGGGAGACACACGGCGGGUGCUAACGUCCGUCGUGAAGAGGGAAACAACCCAGACCGCCAGCUAAGGUCCCAAAGUCAUGGUUAAGUGGGAAACGAUGUGGGAAGGCCCAGACAGCCAGGAUGUUGGCUUAGAAGCAGCCAUCAUUUAAAGAAAGCGUAAUAGCUCACUGGUCGAGUCGGCCUGCGCGGAAGAUGUAACGGGGCUAAACCAUGCACCGAAGCUGCGGCAGCGACACUGUGUGUUGUUGGGUAGGGGAGCGUUCUGUAAGCCUGUGAAGGUGUGUCGUGAGGCAUGCUGGAGGUAUCAGAAGUGCGAAUGCUGACAUAAGUAACGAUAAAGCGGGUGAAAAGCCCGCUCGCCGGAAGACCAAGGGUUCCUGUCCAACGUUAAUCGGGGCAGGGUGAGUCGACCCCUAAGGCGAGGCCGAAAGGCGUAGUCGAUGGGAAACGGGUUAAUAUUCCCGUACUUGGUGUUACUGCGAAGGGGGGACGGAGAAGGCUAUGUUGGCCGGGCGACGGUUGUCCCGGUUUAAGCGUGUAGGUGUGUGUUCCAGGUAAAUCCGGUUCACUUUAACACUGAGGCGUGACGACGAGGCACUACGGUGCUGAAGCAACAAAUGCCCUGCUUCCAGGAAAAGCCUCUAAGCAUCAGGUAACAUCAAAUCGUACCCCAAACCGACACAGGUGGUCAGGUAGAGAAUACCAAGGCGCUUGAGAGAACUCGGGUGAAGGAACUAGGCAAAAUGGUGCCGUAA